CUCCUUCCCCCCUUCCCUCCUUGCUUCCUUCCUUCCUUCCUGCCUUCCUCACACAGGAAAGGGGGAGACAGCUGUGGACAGAGGGGAUGCAAGACACAGACCAGCAGCCAGGCAGGGGGCAGAGUGACAGACACAGGCAGUGAUCAUUAAACACAAUGAAAUAGUUGAUUGUCUUAUCAUUCUCUAAUCCCUUUAUCCUUGGAAGAGAGAGAGGGAGGGAGAGAGCGGGGAGGGGUGAGACAGAGAGAGAGGGGGGGACACAGAAGGAGUAAAGAAGAGAGAGAGAGAGACUUCUGUGUUGCACCAUAGAAGGCCGUUUUCUGUGGAUUAUAACUUUCACUCACUCCAACUGUUAGGGGAACCCCGCUUGUUUCCAUGACGAUGGCCCCGACUACGGACAGGUGUAAUUAGGUCGCCUUCCCCGGUAACCAAGGAAAUUAGAAAAAGUCGACGCCAUGCCGACCAGGAUAUCGCCGUUAGAUUCCGCCCCAGGGGGGACUCCGCCCACCAUCCGAGUGGCUCCGCCCAUUACUGCCCUGCAGGAGAUUAGGGAGGGGCCAAGGGAGUACAGGUCACAGAGGGGGGGAGGAGCUGGUGUCCUCUUCAACAUCAACAACAGCAAC